rnacentral:lncRNA from 1 species
AGGAAUCAAGAAACGUAUACAGAUUUAGCUCCCCAAUAGAUGACAAAACGUUUGCGGAAAUGCCACAUCACUGCAUUAGGAAAGGAAACAAGAAUAUUACUGUAAUGGCCCGUGGCCGCCGACGGGAGAACCGCCGCGACGUGAGCUCGCUGCAGCCGCCAGGUACGCUGCCAGGUUACGGUUGGGAACUUUUCUCUGGUUCUAUUUCUUGUCUGCCUUAUUCUCAGUUCGCUACAGAAUUAUAGGUCACUUACAUGGGCCGAACCCACCAAACUCACGCCCACACACAUUGAGCCCAACAGCACGCACACCACGCACUUCCUGCUUCUUCAGUCUCCCAGCCUCUCUUCUCCCGCAUCCUUGCUCUCCAUGGCACUUCCUGCCGUGACAUUCGCCCCCCCUUCAAGGCUUGCUUGGCCCCAAGCAAGGGCAUCCGGGUAGCGCUGACGCAGAACAUUGUAAUCUUCCCAUGUGGUGGCAUCAGCUGGAAGCAAACUCCACCGGAUCAACACCUGGGGCACAGCACGAUUCCCUUUCUUGACCAACCGGCGAUCCAGAAUCUCCAAAGGUUGAACAUUGCGACUACUCAAAUCAGAGUAAGCAGGCAGAUUAGAAAAAACAGGAGUGUAAUCUGGAAUGAACGGUUUCAACUGUGAGACAUGAAACACCGGAUGCACUUGAGCCGACGCAGGCAACUCCAAACGGUAAGCCACUGCUCCCACACGCUCCACGAUCUUGUAAGGUCCAAAAAACUUAAAUGCAAGCUUCGGACAAGGUGUACUGACCACGGAAUGUUGCGCAUACGGCUGGAGUUUGAGCAACACCAUAUCGCCCACUUGAAACUGUCGAUCAGUGCGAAGACGAUCUGCUCGCAGUUUCAUGCGAUUCUGGGCUGCGGCCAGUUGCUCCCGUAACAUGGCUGUAAACUGUGCUCUCUCAACUAAAACUUGUGCGACAUCAGCUGCAGUGUCGGAAGGCACAGAAGGUGCUGCUGCAAAGGGAGGAUCAUACCCAUACAGAACCUUGAAUGGAGAACAAGCUAAAGAUGUGUGAUAAGAGGUAUUGUACCAAAAUUCAGCAAGCGGUAGCCAGGUCUUCCACUUAGUUGGUUGAGCAUGAACUGCACAUCUCAAAUACAUCUCAACACAUUGAUUUACACGCUCACUUUGACCGUCGGACUGUGGAUGGUAUGCGGUGCUUAAAUUCAGCUUAGUACCCAAAAUCUUGAACAAUUGAGUCCAAAAGGCACUGGUAAAGAUCUUGUCCCGAUCACUGACAAUAGACUUGGGAAGGCCAUGUAACCGGACCACCUGAUCCAAAAUGACCUGAGCCACUUGGGAAGCAGUAAAUGGGUGUUUCAGGGCAAUAAAAUGAGCAUACUUCGUGAAACGAUCCACUACAACCAGGAUAGUAUCACAUCCACCAGAUUGUGGUAACUUCUCGAUAAAAUCCAUUGUAAUAUCCUGCCAAGCACCUUGAGGAAUGGGAAUGGGGUGCAGCAAACCAGCGGGGUGUACUCUUUCGCCUUUGGCCUGCUGGCAGAUUUGGCAUUGUUGCACAAAAUCAGCCACAUCAGAUUUCAUUCCCUUCCACACAAACAACUUCUUGAGGCGAUGAUAAGUGGCAUGCAUCCCAGAAUGACCCCCAGCCGCGCUGUCAUGAACCGCUGCCACUAAUUUAGUGCGAAGAGCAGAAUUCUGUCCCACCCAAAUCAGACCUCCUUUCCUGAUCACCCCUUGAGAUAAAGAAUAACCGUGUUCAUCAGGAUUAUGGACACAUAACCGAGCCAGGAGAGAUUGAGCAGCAGGAUCAGUCACAUAGGAAUUUGUAACUUCUUGGAUCCAAAGUGGUUGAACCUCACUGACUGCUGUUAAUGCCAUCACUGCCCCCACCCGAGAAAGUGCAUCUGCAACCUUGUUCUCUUUACCUUGCUUGUAAACCACUUUAAACUGCAGACCCAUCAGCUUAGCCAUCGCCUUUCGCUGCAACUCGGAAUGUAAAUCUUGACUGCCCAAGAAACUGAGAGCCUUGUGGUCGGUCCGAAUUUCAAACUCACUCCGCUGUAAAUAAUGGCGCCAACGAUCGACAGCCAUGAUCAAUGCAAUGAAUUCUUUUUCAUAUAUUGACAGUUUCUGACUUUUAAUGCCCAAAGCCUUACUCAAGAAAGCUAUUGGUCGGCCCCUCUGCAUUAGAACCGCCCCCACUCCAUCGUCACAAGCGUCAGUCUCUACCACAAAAGGAAUAUUAAAAUCUGGUAAUGCAAGGACCGGUGUGGACACCAUGGCCUGCUUCAACCUCUGAAAAGCCAUCUCUGCCUCUGAUGUCCAUUGGAAUGCCCCUUUUUGUAACAGCCUGGUGAGAGGCCUAGCAAUGGCACCAUAACCCUGCACAAACCGCCUGUAGUAUCCUGUCAGACCGAGAAAACCUCUGAGAUCUGUGACAUUCAACGGCUUGGGCCACUUGAGCAUAGCAUCAGUUUUCGUGGGGUCAGUCGCUACCCCAUUCCCAGAAAUAAUAUGACCCAAAUAUGACAACUCCUUUUUACCAAAGACACACUUCCUUUCUUUGAGAUAAAAUUUGUGGUGUCGCAAGGCAGUGAAAACCAGCCGGAGGUGCUCCAAAUGAGAUUGCCAAUUGGGGCUAUAAACCAGGAUAUCAUCAAUAAAGACCAUGACAAACUUGCGAAGAAAAGGAGCUAACACCAAAUUCAUGGCACACUGAAAGGUGGCCGGAGCGUUGAUAAGACCAAAAGGCAUGACUCGGAACUGAUAGUGGCCCUGAUGAGUUUUGAAUGCCGUUUUAAACUCCUCGGAGACACCCAUGCGUAUCUGAUGGUAACCUGAAGUCAUGUCCAGACUCGAAAAGAUUUCAGUACCCGCCAAUUCAUCCAGAAUUUCCUCCACCACUGGCAUGGGAAACCGAUUCUUAAUAGUCAUAUCAUUCAAUUUGCGAUAAUCGACACAAAAACGCCAUGUACCAUCCUUCUUCUGCACCAAGAGGACUGGAGACGCAAACGGGCUCACGCUUGGAGUGAUCAAACCGGAUUUCAACAAGUCUGCCACUUGUCGCUCAAUCUCUGUCUUAUGGUGAGGGGAAUAUUUGUAGGGCCGAGCAUUAACUGGUAUGGACCCCGGAAGCAAAGGAAUGUGAUGAUCAAAUGGCCGAGAUGGAGGUAAGACUGUAGGUGCCUCAAAAAUAUCCAUGAAUUCUCCCAGCAACCCUUGCAAAUCUGUAUGAAUUUCGUUGAUGCUCACUGCAGUCACCUCUUCCAACAGAGCAAACACCCAGAUAUCAUUUCCGCGCAACCACCGCUCCACUUGUAAAGAAGAUACCUCCUGCACCACUUGUUGUUGUGGAUGAUUUCCCACCAACUGGACCUCGAUCCCUUUGUCCACAAAACUGAUCACCUGAGCUUCCCAAUCACAAUGCAUAGGACUGUGCCUUCUCAACCAAUCAUAGCCUAAAAUAGCAUCAUAGGCCCCCAGCCCUAGCACCCUCAUAUCAUUCUGGUAUGUGUGUCCGUUGGCCCACCACUCCAGUGAUCGCACCAUUGUGUCACUAUACAUAAUCUCUCCAUUUGCCACCCUCACUUUACAUGAAGCACAAGGGUGCACGGUCAGGCCCAUUCGAUCGACCAGCUGCUUGUUAAUAAAGCUCGUAGAACUCCCCGAAUCCACCAGGACCAACAUGACUUGAUUCUGCAGCAAGGCGCGCACAACCAUACAUUCGUCAUUGGUAGUACCGCUGAGAGCAUUCAGAGACAAGCGAAAAUUCUCCUCUUCCCCUUUUUCCUCCAACUCAAUCUGUGUCAAUGUUUGCUCUGAUAAGGUCAUACCCAACUCUUCAUCGGUAAGAGCACUCAACUGCAUCUGCACCCUUUUGGGGCAGCGAGCUUGAUGGCCGGGUUCAAAUUUGUCACCACAGGUAUAGCACAAACCAUUUUGCUUCCGAUACUCUUUCACCAAUCGCUCUUUAGACAACUCGGGCAACGAAACCGAGCUUCUACUGUCAGCUUUGGGCACAGUACUACCAAAUCGACCUUGACUGCUAGUCGAGAAGGGUUUAUGGCGCUGUUUAUCCAAGAUUCCCUGCUGAAUACUGGCUAAUAAUGCCGCUCGUUCAACAGAAGCAGGCAUAUGAGAUUUAACCGGUCCUUGUAAUUCUUGCUUGAGUCCCUUAAUAAAAUGAGCCACAUAUAGAGUCUCAUCCAAAUCAUGAUUGUGGACAGAAGUGGCAUAUCUUGCUUCAUCAAACAGCUUUUUGUACUCCUCCACAGACCCUGACUGUCUAAUGUCCAGCAAAGACUGCAUAGCCUGAGAAUACUCCUCGGAUCCAAACUUCAACAGCACCGCGUCACAAAACUCCUCCCACGAACAUGGACCAUAUUGAAUCUUAAAAAUCUGAAACCACCUCUUAGCAUUCCCCUCCAUGUUCAACGAUGCUGACAUCACCCAAACUGACUCAGGGACCCGAUACAAAGUGAAAUAAUCCACACAUUGAUCAAUCCAGAUACGAGGUUCCUCCCCUGCGAAUUUGGGAAAUGGCAUCCGUGGUAUUGGGAGAUGCCCACCUUCAAAAUCCUCAACCCUCCGCCCUCCAUUCUCUCUCGGACGACCCAAUGGUACACCUGCAUACCUGCGCUGUGGACCUGGAGGAACAAGCGGCGGAGAUGGUGGAGGCCCGCCGCGAUGUCGUUCACUGCGCACAGAUUGCGCUGACUCCAUGUCCCGCGCCAUCUGCUCCAGACGGAGUUCCGCGAGCGCCUUCUCCGCUUGGUCCAACUGCUGCGCGAAGCGAACCCGCUCUUCCAUCGCCUGCCGAGCCACAUCGGCCGCCAGCCCCGCUUGCGCCAGCAACUGUUGUUGAACAUCAUCCAUGCUCAUCACCUUCUCCGUGAGCCGAUCGAGCUGCGCCAUCACCCGAUCCCAACGAUCGACAUCAUCUCGCUCCUUGUUCGUCAUCACCUCCAGGAGAAUCUUGGUCUGCGCCGACGGCUUCGGUGUGGGCGCCGUAGCGGCAAUCGGUGCGGGAACGCGAGGAAGGGGAUCCACGCCGAGGACGCCUGAAGCUGAUACCACUUGUAAUGGCCCGUGGCCGCCGACGGGAGAACCGCCGCGACGUGAGCUCGCUGCAGCCGCCAGGUACGCUGCCAGGUUACGGUUGGGAACUUUUCUCUGGUUCUAUUUCUUGUCUGCCUUAUUCUCAGUUCGCUACAGAAUUAUAGGUCACUUACAUGGGCCGAACCCACCAAACUCACGCCCACACACAUUGAGCCCAACAGCACGCACACCACGCACUUCCUGCUUCUUCAGUCUCCCAGCCUCUCUUCUCCCGCAUCCUUGCUCUCCAUGGCACUUCCUGCCG